CACACCUCACAGCCUUAUUAGCAUAAUCGGAACCUUUCUGGUUUUUAUAUUCACGAAAGAAUGAAAAAACCCGAGAAAGUCAAAACUUCGUAUAUCUCGGGAUUUUAACGAGACCAGUCUCAUACUCGUGAAAAUCGAGAGAGGAGUUUAAAUGGAAAAAAUUUACCUGCGGCUUCCAGAUGCUCUGAAGAUCAGGAAUAUAGAAAAUAUUGUCAAUUUGAUAUUGCUAAUGACCCAGUCAAGUCUGCUGAAGCCCAGAAGUUUCCAGACCAUGACAUUAAUGAAUAUUCCUUGAAUGGAAUGCAUGAGGAUUAGAAUGGAACCUUAUUCUGCCUUUUUACCAACUCACACCAUCUUUUCAAGAUUUAUGGAGCCAACCACAGAAGAAUUUUUUCUAUACACAUCAUUCAUAACAUUCUUAUUUAUGUUGCAUAACUUUAAAUGUUAUUGGAUGAAUUGUGUUCACAUAAUGAAUACCAGCAAACUUUUUAUCGAGUGCACUUAAUUCGUAUUUUUCCUACCCAUCCAUCUAACAUAUGUUUUUAUAUUACACAUUCACAUACAUGUUACAUAACAUUUUUGGAAACAGCUAUUUUUUUUUAAAUUGGAAUUUAGCCUUACUAUUUUAUACAAGUUUUUUUUAAAGGGACUUGGACACGAUUAUAGAUCAAAAUUUUGUUUUCAAUUUCUUUAUGCAUAAAAUGAUUUACUUGCACAUUUUGAAUAAUUGACCAUAAUUUGAAUGUUAGAAGUCAAGUUAUAUAAUAGAUACAGGGGUAAGAAUUUAUUGUUAUGUAAACAAAGCUCGAGUCUUAUGUUUGUUUACAAAUAAUAUAAAGUAUGAAAUUACCAUACUGAUUCGAUGUGAUCAUAAAUGAUAUUAAUGAUAUUAUUAAUAGAAAAAAGCAACAUUUGAAUGAAAGUUACACCAAUAAAACACAUAUGUAAAUAAUAACAAGACUCGCGCUUUAUUUACAGAACAAAGAAUAUUUAAUUUAACUCAGUAUUUGACUUUCAAAAUUAGUAUUAUGAUUUUUUUUAGAAUGAUAUAUGCAAUUUCAUUAAUUUAUUUUUCAUUUUAAGAAAAUUCAUUUUAAAAAAGAUCUCUUACAACCUGUGUAUUUUUUUUUCAGUUUUCAGUGUAUUAAUUGAAUGUAGUUGACGUGUAGAUUUAAACAUGUACCUACAAGCAAUAUACAUUUAAUAUUCACCAGGUACAUGUACCAGCCUACUAUAUUUGAUAAAUAAAUGUACUUCUUUCAUGCCUUUUUCAUGCCUUUUACUCAUUGUUAUAUAUAUUAUUUAUUA